UACCUAUAAAAGAAAAUAAACAAAUUGUAAAAUGCGGCGUUUAAAAUUUGGACACAUGUUAGUAAGAUGCACUGAAGGAGAACAAGAAAAACCCGAGCUUUCUUUUCGCUAUUUCAAAAGGGGAGAAAAAGUUUUCCAACGAUGACCACCGAAGUGGAAUAUGGUAAUAAUAUGAGAAGUAAGAUCGUUGUGUGAACGCUUUGAGAAUUUUCUUCCAAUAUACUCUUACUUUACUUA
rnacentral:lncRNA from 1 species